rnacentral:rRNA from 1 species
AGAAUCAACGCUGGCGGCGUGCCUAACACAUGCAAGUCGAACGAGAAAGUGGAGCAAUCCAUGAGUAAAGUGGCGCACGGGUGAGUAACACGUGACUAACCUACCCUCGAGUGGGGAAUAACCUCGGGAAACCGGGGCUAACACCGCAUAACAUCUACGGAUCAAAUGCGUAAGCAGCUUGAGGAGGGGGUCGCGGCUGAUUAGCUAGUUGGCGGGGUAAUGGCCCACCAAGGCAGUGAUCAGUAGCCGGCCUGAGAGGGCGCACGGCCACACUGGAACUGAAACACGGUCCAGACUCCUACGGGAGGCAGCAGUGGGGAAUUUUGCGCAAUGGGGAAACCCUGACGCAGCAACGCCGCGUGGAGGAUGAAGCCCCUUGGGGUGUAAACUCCUUUCGACCGGGACGAUGAUGACGGUACCGGUGGAAGAAGCCCCGGCUAACUUCGUGCCAGCAGCCGC